CAUUACCGAAUCGUCACACGAGUUGUUGCUGGUCUUCGAACGAGGGCACGUGCACGCUCUGUUUACACAUCCACUCACACCUGUGCACCCUCUGUAGUUCUAUGGUGUGGGAGACCACCCCGUCUUCCUGCCGUGGUUCUACRUCRUCACACACACACUGUAAUAGUCUCAUGGAAUGCAUGCCGCGUUUGACGCAACAAAAUACAACUUUCAGCAACGGAUCUCUUGGCUCUCGCAUCGAUGAAGAACGCAKCGAAAUGCGAUAAGUAAUGUGAAUUGCAGAAUUCAGUGAAUCAUCGAAUCUUUGAACGCACCUUGCGCCCUUUGGCUAUUCCGAAGGGCAUGCCUGUUUGAGUGUCAUGAACAUCUCAACUCUCAUGGGUUGCCAUGAUGAGCUUGGACUUUGGAGGUUUUUGCUGGCUUACGGUCGGCUCCUCUCAAACGAAUCAKCUUGCCAGCGUUUGGUGGCAUCACGGGCGUGAUAACUAUCUGCGCUUGUGGUUAUCCACCAGGUGUAACCUUCARUGAUGGAGGUUCGCUGGAGCUUCAUAGACGUCCCUCCUCGGUGAGGACGGCUUUCUGAACGUUCGAUCUCAAAUCAGGUAGGAUUACCCGCUGAACUUAA
rnacentral:rRNA from 1 species